rnacentral:rRNA from 1 species
UACGUAGGCAGCGAGCGUUGUUCGGAGUUACUGGGCGUAAAGAGUGCGUAGGCGGUGUUCCAAGUCUGUUGUGAAAUCUCCCGGCUUAACCGGGAGGGUGCGGCGGAAACUGGAAUGCUUGAGUACGGGAGAGGUAAGCGGAAUUCCUGGUGUAGCGGUGAAAUGCGUAGAUAUCAGGAGGAACACCUGCGGUGUAGACGGCUUACUGGACCGUAACUGACGCUGAGGCACGAAAGCGUGGGUAGCAAACAGG